rfam:Ixodes scapularis strain Wikel colony gcontig_1108379672812, whole genome shotgun sequence.
CCCUGGUCAGCUAAGUUGGUAGAGCGCUCCACUUGUAAUGGAGAGGUCCCGGGUUCGAUACCCGGACCAGGCG